rnacentral:rRNA from 1 species
AGCGCCGAAUCCCGCGGCCGAUACCGGGCGCCGGGAAAUGUGGUGUUAGGGAGGAUCCGUUUAUCCCGAGGUCGUUAGGCGCGUCCAAGUCCUUCUUGAACGGGGCCACAGCCCAUAGAGGGUGCCAGGCCCGUAGCGACCGUCUACGAUCGCGGGAGGAUCUCUCCUCAGAGUCGGGUUGCUUGAGAGUGCAGCCCUAAGUGGGUGGUAAACUCCAUCUAAGGCUAAAUAUGACCACGAGACCGAUAGCGAACAAGUACCGUGAGGGAAAGUUGAAAAGCACUUUGAAGAGAGAGUUCAAGAGUACGUGAAACCGUUCAGGGGUAAACCUGAGAAACCCGAAAGGUCGAAAGGGGAAAUUCAUUCGCGUUUCGACCGUCGGAGCCGAGCGAUCGAGUGACGGACGGCGUACGCGUCGACCGCGCCUUUCGUUCGGCGAUUCGGCGUCGAACGCGUGCACUUUUCCCCUAGUAGGACGUCGCGAUCCGUUGGGCGUCGGUUUAAGGUAUGUGCGGUGGAGACCGGGCGAGCGUCAUCCGGCGUCUCGUUCGGACCCGUGAUAUCCCAACCGACCCGCUCGACGGUAUACAGAUGGCGCGGGGCCGCUACUCAGUUAGCGUUCGGCCCGCGGCAAGCGCGUUCGAUAGGACGGCGAUCGGACCUAGUGCCGGUUCCGUCCCCGGACGACUGUUGGCCGCGGUGUUCUCGAACAGACCUCGUAUCUUGAAACGCCGAUCUGCGACGCUAUAGCUUUGGGUACUUUCAGGACCCGUCUUGAAACACGGACCAAGGAGUCUAGCAUGUGCGCGAGUCAUUGGGACAUAAUUAAACCUAAAGGCGCAAUGAAAGUGAAAGUUCGUCUCGCACGAACCGAGGGAAGAUGGGCGGCUUCGUACUUCCGUGCGGCCGCUCCGCAUUCCCGGGGCGUCUCGUUCUCAUCGCGAGAAGAGGCGCACCAAGAGCGUACACGCUGGGACCCGAAAGAUGGUGAACUAUGCCUGGUCAGGACGAAGUCAGGGGAAACCCUGAUGGAGGUCC